AUACAACCUUAGCUAGCCACCUUAGCUUCAACAAUAUUUUCACUUUCUUCUAUAUAUACUAGCUUCAAUAUAAAAACCCUAUUUAUAGAUAUAGAUAUAUAGAUAUAUAGAUAUAUCAUAUAUGGGCAGUAGGAGUAUUAAUAAGGGUUUUGUGGUGGUGAUAGGAGUGGUUAUGUGGUUGUUAAUGGUGGCUGCAGCCUUACAAAACCUGGAAAGAGGAAGCAUGAAGGAGGAUAUCAGAAACUUCCAUAGGAGAAUGGAUCUUAUCAACUUCAUCAGCAAAAGAAGAGUUCCAAAUGGAUCUGACCCUAUCCAUAACAGAAAAGCGGGAAACUCUCGACGACCACCUGGCCAAGCUUUCGCAGGAGAGUUCAACAUGCCAUGAUCUACUUCGUCACAUGUAGAAGGAUAUAUAUAUAUAUAUAUAUAUAUAUAUAUAUAUAUAUAUAGUUUGAAUGUAUGUAGUUUAUGGAAUCCGGGCAGCUUGUUGAAUUUGUUUUGUUUUAAACUCGAUUAUAAUUUUCAUAUGUCAGGGGUUAAUUCUGUUGAUGAACACAAAAUAUAGUAAACUUUACAAAAGAAAUUGAAAUAUGAUGAGGAUUUUAAUCCUCUGA